rnacentral:tRNA from 1 species
AGGAGUGUAGCUCAGUAGUAGAGCACUUGCCUAGGUGGCAAGGCCCUGGGUUCAAUCCCCUGCACUGCAA